AUGAACGUCACAUACCUCAAAUGCAUCCGGAGCAGCGACGUGACAGCAGUGAGGACGAGCACGCCCUCCCUCCUUCCCCUUUCUCAACUCCAUCGUCCUGGUAGCAGCCACAGGGCCUGCGGGCCAGUCACCAACAAGCAGCUCUUCAUCAGCGCCCAGGAGCUACACCCUCGAGGUGACCAGCCAGGAGACGGUCGCCCAGAUAAAGCCUCACUGGAGGGCAUUGCCCCAGAUGAUCAAGUCAUGCUCCUGGCAGGCACGACCCUAGAAGAUGACGCUAUCCUGGGCCAGUGUGGGGUGGAGGCCCUGACAACUCUGGAAGUAGCCGGCCGCGUGCUUGGAGGUAUUGGUUCCCCGGCCCAUGCAGGGAAAGUGAGAGGUCAGAGUCCCAAGGCGGCCAAACAGGUGGAGAAGAAGAAGAAGAAGACCGGCCGGGCCAAGCGGCAGAUGCAGUACCAUCAGCGCUUUGUCAAUGUUGUGCCCACCUUUGGCAAGAAGAAGGGCCACAAUGCCAACUCUUAAGUUCUUUGUAAGGCUGGCUUUCUGUAAUUAAAAAAAAGCCAUUUAGCUGAGUCAAAAAA